rnacentral:misc_RNA from 1 species
CUUUCAUAUAUCUGCUUCAAGGAUCCCCAUUUUCUUGGUGGUGUUUUUGAGGAAGAGGAACUUGGAGAGGCUGAGUUUAAUGAGCCAGAGGAGCUGCUUUGAGGUGUUAGAGGGCUGGAACUUCUAUGUGGUGUUGAGGAACUACAGCCAUCAUUGCUGCCUUGAUCAAAUGCAUUAUGUUCAACACUCAUUUCUUCAUUACCCUGAACAAAACUAGGACUAUUUGCAUAUCAC